rnacentral:rRNA from 1 species
CCUACGGGAGGCAGCAGUAAGGAAUAUUGGUCAAUGGAGGAAACUCUGAACCAGCCAUGCCGCGUGCAGGAUGACUGCCCUAUGGGUUGUAAACUGCUUUUAUACGGGAAGAAACCCCGCUACGUGUAGCGGGUUGACGGUACUGUAAGAAUAAGGACCGGCUAACUUCGUGCCAGCAGCCGCGGUAAUACGAAGGGUCCAAGCGUUAUCCGGAUUUAUUGGGUUUAAAGGGUGCGUAGGCGGCUUUUUAAGUCAGUGGUGAAAGCCUGAUGCUCAACAUCAGAACUGCCAUUGAUACUGAAGAGCUUGAGUACAGUUGAGGUUGGCGGAAUGUGUCAUGUAGCGGUGAAAUGCUUAGAUAUGACACAGAACACCGAUUGCGAAGGCAGCUAGCUAAGCUGUAACUGACGCUGAUGCACGAAAGCGUGGGGAGCAAACAGGAUUAGAUACCCUGGUAGUCCACGCCCUAAACGUUGAUAACUCGCUGUUGGCGAUAUACUGCNCGCGGCCGACGACGAAGACGAUUAAGUUAGUUCCGUAACCGUCGGUAAGGUUACGGUUCGUCGAAGAGUUAGUUAACGUUAAAGUUAGUAGUUAGACGGCGUUGAGACGCGACGACGGACGACGACGGAGGAGGAGG